rnacentral:rRNA from 1 species
GGUUAAGCGACUAAGCGUACACGGUGGAUGCCCUGGCAGUCAGAGGCGAUGAAGGACGUGCUAAUCUGCGAUAAGCGUCGGUAAGGUGAUAUGAACCGUUAUAACCGGCGAUUUCCGAAUGGGGAAACCCAGUGUGAUUCGUCACACUAUCAUUAACUGAAUCCAUAGGUUAAUGAGGCGAACCGGGGGAACUGAAACAUCUAAGUACCCCGAGGAAAAGAAAUCAACCGAGAUUCCCCCAGUAGCGGCGAGCGAACGGGGAGCAGCCCAGAGCCUGAAUCAGUGUGUGUGUUAGUGGAAGCGUCUGGAAAGGCGCGCGAUACAGGGUGACAGCCCCGUACACAAAAAUGCACAUACUGUGAGCUCGAUGAGUAGGGCGGGACACGUGGUAUCCUGUCUGAAUAUGGGGGGACCAUCCUCCAAGGCUAAAUACUCCUGACUGACCGAUAGUGAACCAGUACCGUGAGGGAAAGGCGAAAAGAACCCCGGCGAGGGGAGUGAAAAAGAACCUGAAACCGUGUACGUACAAGCAGUGGGAGCACGCUUAGGCGUGUGACUGCGUACCUUUUGUAUAAUGGGUCAGCGACUUAUAUUCUGUAGCAAGGUUAACCGAAUAGGGGAGCCGAAGGGAAACCGAGUCUUAACUGGGCGUUAAGUUGCAGGGUAUAGACCCGAAACCCGGUGAUCUAGCCAUGGGCAGGUUGAAGGUUGGGUAACACUAACUGGAGGACCGAACCGACUAAUGUUGAAAAAUUAGCGGAUGACUUGUGGCUGGGGGUGAAAGGCCAAUCAAACCGGGAGAUAGCUGGUUCUCCCCGAAAGCUAUUUAGGUAGCGCCUCGUGAAUUCAUCUCCGGGGGUAGAGCACUGUUUCGGCAAGGGGGUCAUCCCGACUUACCAACCCGAUGCAAACUGCGAAUACCGGAGAAUGUUAUCACGGGAGACACACGGCGGGUGCUAACGUCCGUCGUGAAGAGGGAAACAACCCAGACCGCCAGCUAAGGUCCCAAAGUCAUGGUUAAGUGGGAAACGAUGUGGGAAGGCCCAGACAGCCAGGAUGUUGGCUUAGAAGCAGCCAUCAUUUAAAGAAAGCGUAAUAGCUCACUGGUCGAGUCGGCCUGCGCGGAAGAUGUAACGGGGCUAAACCAUGCACCGAAGCUGCGGCAGCGACACUGUGUGUUGUUGGGUAGGGGAGCGUUCUGUAAGCCUGCGAAGGUGUGCUGUGAGGCAUGCUGGAGGUAUCAGAAGUGCGAAUGCUGACAUAAGUAACGAUAAAGCGGGUGAAAAGCCCGCUCGCCGGAAGACCAAGGGUUCCUGUCCAACGUUAAUCGGGGCAGGGUGAGUCGACCCCUAAGGCGAGGCCGAAAGGCGUAGUCGAUGGGAAACAGGUUAAUAUUCCUGUACUUGGUGUUACUGCGAAGGGGGGACGGAGAAGGCUAUGUUGGCCGGGCGACGGUUGUCCCGGUUUAAGCGUGUAGGCUGGUUUUCCAGGCAAAUCCGGAAAAUCAAGGCUGAGGCGUGAUGACGAGGCACUACGGUGCUGAAGCAACAAAUGCCCUGCUUCCAGGAAAAGCCUCUAAGCAUCAGGUAACAUCAAAUCGUACCCCAAACCGACACAGGUGGUCAGGUAGAGAAUACCAAGGCGCUUGAGAGAACUCGGGUGAAGGAACUAGGCAAAAUGGUGCCGUAACUUCGGGAGAAGGCACGCUGAUAUGUAGGUGAAGUCCCUCGCGGAUGGAGCUGAAAUCAGUCGAAGAUACCAGCUGGCUGCAACUGUUUAUUAAAAACACAGCACUGUGCAAACACGAAAGUGGACGUAUACGGUGUGACGCCUGCCCGGUGCCGGAAGGUUAAUUGAUGGGGUCAGCGCAAGCGAAGCUCUUGAUCGAAGCCCCGGUAAACGGCGGCCGUAACUAUAACGGUCCUAAGGUAGCGAAAUUCCUUGUCGGGUAAGUUCCGACCUGCACGAAUGGCGUAAUGAUGGCCAGGCUGUCUCCACCCGAGACUCAGUGAAAUUGAACUCGCUGUGAAGAUGCAGUGUACCCGCGGCAAGACGGAAAGACCCCGUGAACCUUUACUAUAGCUUGACACUGAACAUUGAGCCUUGAUGUGUAGGAUAGGUGGGAGGCUUUGAAGUGUGGACGCCAGUCUGCAUGGAGCCGACCUUGAAAUACCACCCUUUAAUGUUUGAUGUUCUAACGUUGACCCGUAAUCCGGGUUGCGGACAGUGUCUGGUGGGUAGUUUGACUGGGGCGGUCUCCUCCUAAAGAGUAACGGAGGAGCACGAAGGUUGGCUAAUCCUGGUCGGACAUCAGGAGGUUAGUGCAAUGGCAUAAGCCAGCUUGACUGCGAGCGUGACGGCGCGAGCAGGUGCGAAAGCAGGUCAUAGUGAUCCGGUGGUUCUGAAUGGAAGGGCCAUCGCUCAACGGAUAAAAGGUACUCCGGGGAUAACAGGCUGAUACCGCCCAAGAGUUCAUAUCGACGGCGGUGUUUGGCACCUCGAUGUCGGCUCAUCACAUCCUGGGGCUGAAGUAGGUCCCAAGGGUAUGGCUGUUCGCCAUUUAAAGUGGUACGCGAGCUGGGUUUAGAACGUCGUGAGACAGUUCGGUCCCUAUCUGCCGUGGGCGCUGGAGAACUGAGGGGGGCUGCUCCUAGUACGAGAGGACCGGAGUGGACGCAUCACUGGUGUUCGGGUUGUCAUGCCAAUGGCACUGCCCGGUAGCUAAAUGCGGAAGAGAUAAGUGCUGAAAGCAUCUAAGCACGAAACUUGCCCCGAGAUGAGUUCUCCCUGACUCCUUGAGAGUCCUGAAGGAACGUUGAAGACGACGACGUUGAUAGGCCGGGUGUGUAAGCGCAGCGAUGCGUUGAGCUAACCGGUACUAAUGAACCGUGAGGCUUAACCUUAC